rnacentral:misc_RNA from 1 species
GAUCGGGAAACAUUAACCCAUAACUUGGGCAGAUAGCACAACGGGAAUCACACAAGGCCUCAGUGACGGGAGCAACGACCCUGGACAAACUUCGCCUUUUCAGUAAAGCACUUGCAAAGUAAAAGCAUUUGCGCUGCGGCCAAUCAAACGUCUAAUACCAUUUCAAUGGCUAGCGCAGGGGAAGGAUACAAAAAGCUGCCACCCAACACAUUUUUCACAUCCAAAAACAAAUGGCACAAGAAAAAAUUGUGGAUAAUGAA